GUGACCUCAAAUCAGGUAGGACUACCCGCUGAACUUAAGCAUAUCAAUAAGCGGAGGAAAAGAAACUAACAAGGAUUCCCCUAGUAACUGCGAGUGAAGCGGGAAAAGCUCAAAUUUAAAAUCUGGCGGUCUUUUGGCUGUCCGAGUUGUAAUCUAGAGAAGUGUUAUCCGCGCUGGACCGUGUACAAGUCUCCUGGAAUGGAGCAUCAUAGAGGGUGAGAAUCCCGUCUUUGACAUGGACUGCCAGGGCUUUGUGAUGCGCUCUCAAAGAGUCGAGUUGUUUGGGAAUGCAGCUCAAAAUGGGUGGUAAAUUCCAUCUAAAGCUAAAUAUUGGCGAGAGACCGAUAGCGAACAAGUACCGUGAGGGAAAGAUGAAAAGAACUUUGGAAAGAGAGUUAAACAGUACGUGAAAUUGCUGAAAGGGAAACGCUUGAAGUCAGUCGCGUUGUCCAGGGAUCAACCUUGCUUUUGCUUGGUGCACUUCCUGGUUCGACGGGUCAGCAUCAAUUUUGAUCGUUGGAAAAAGGCUGGGGGAAUGUGGCAUCUCUGGAUGUGUUAUAGCCCUUGGUCACAUACAAUGGUUGGGAUUGAGGAACUCAGCACGCCGCAAGGCCGGGUUUUAAACCACGUACGUGCUUAGGAUGCUGGCAAUAUGGCUUUAAUCGACCCGUC
rnacentral:rRNA from 1 species